GCACUGUGGAGGAGUCCCAUACCAGGACGAAACGGCCGUCCAGUGC
rfam:Schistosoma margrebowiei strain Zambia genome assembly, scaffold: SMRZ_contig0000240